rnacentral:rRNA from 1 species
AACGAACGCUGGCGGCAUGCCUAACACAUGCAAGUCGAACGAUACCUUCGUGCUUAGUCGCGCACGGGGGCGUGACGCGGGGGAACCUGCCCUUGAGUUCGGAAUAACUCCCCGAAAGGGGUGCUAAUACCGGAUAAUGUCUUCCGACCAAAGAUCUAUCGCCUUUGGAUGGGCCCGCGUUGGAUUAGCUGGUUGGUAGGGGAAAAGCCUAUCAAGGGGACGAUCCAUAGCUGGUCUGAGAGGAUGAUCCGCCACACUGGGACGGAGACACGGCCCAGACUCCUACGGAAGGCAGCAGUGGGGAAUAUUGGACAAUGGGCGAAAGCCUGAUCCAGCAAUGCCGGGUGAGUGAUGAAGGCCUUAGGGUAGUAAUGCUCUUUUACCCGGGAUGAGAAUGACAGUACCGGGAGAAUAAGCUCCGGCUAACUCCGUG